UUUGGUUUGUUGUUUUUUGUUUGCUUUUGGUUUUUUGGUUUGGUUUCCCCCCCUCCCAUAAAAUACAAUCUGUACAUACCCCUGAGUUGGAAAUUUUAUGCAUGUUAUGAACUAUUCAAGUAUUUUAUAAACAGUAGCACACAAUAAAUUUUGUGCAUGGGCUGAGGCUCCUAUGAUUGUGUAUUGGUUUUAUUUGGCAUACCUGGAUCUAAUCUGACCUUAAAAAUUGUUUAGAAAGAGUCUUAAAAAUUUGAGGUACUGCAAAAAUAGCCUAAAAGGUCAGAUUUAUUUUGCAGAAAGCUAAUUGAAUUUAAAUGCUAUUUAACUUAUAUAUUAUUCCUGCUUUUGUUUUUCCCUUGAGUUCUCUCUCAUAAAUACAACACUUAAAUAUUUUCAGUCUGCUAAACUGGACAUCCACUGUUGGUUUAUAUGAGCUUGUAUAAGCAGGGUUAGUUGAUUCUAGAAAGGCUGUUAGUAACAUUUUAUGCAUUAAAUUAAACAUUCAAGAUUAGUGAAGUGUGUCAGGGCUGCUUUCUGGGCAGAGAGGAGGACUGUUUGGCAGUCAGUACAGCGAGAUGAUUCAGUCUCGUCUUUUUAAAGUAAGGACAAGCUGCUGAACAGGAUGACAAGCUAAAAGAUAAAAAUAGUGACAUGCUGUUGCUAAUGGAGUUCUAAUGUUUGGUUUUACUUUUUGCAGAUGCAUUCUAAUUGGAAACUCUUCUCAAAGUUUGAGUGCAGAAGAUCCAGUUAAAAAAUGGUGGAGUCUGGAGCUGUCUCUAAUUCUUGUAUUGUUGGGGAGAAGAAAUUACAUCCUCCCUCCUAGAAAACCGCUUCAAGUUGCAAAGAAUCUUCCCAAACAAACUAAUGAAUUAUUUUACUGAAUAUGCACACCUGAAAUAUCUCAGGUCUUCUAUUUUAUUUAGGAUUUGCCAAUUUUAAGUAAGAAUGUCUCCAGAAAACAUCUACUAUAGCUGUAAUAUGUCAUUAGGGCUUAUAUGAAAGUUUGUGUGCUUUGAUUUUCCCCCCUUUUUUUUCCCUUGUUGCCCAGUGCAUGGAUGAAUAUUGCUAAAUACACUGUCUGAGUAGGCUGAAUACAUUCUCUCAAAUACUGUUGUAUCUAUAGUGGUUAAUCUAGUAUUUAAAUUAUGUGAUUGUCAGUUACUGUAAACUACUGGAUUUAUCAAAAUAAAAAUUAGCAGCAUGAGCUUCUCAAGGUUUGCUUUCUUGUGGCUUUUGACUUUCUAAUCCAAAUACCUAAUUGCAUAGCAGAGCUCUCACAGAGGCAGAGGAAAAUGAGAUAAAGAAGCAUCAUAGAAGUUCUAACAGUAAAUAGACAGAUUGAUCACAGAAAUGGAGGACGUUUCAUUAGUACCUAUUUCUUUCCAAAGACAGGUAAGUGCAAGUUACUGGCCUUCAACACAGAAAGGGCUCUAGUAAAUUAUAUGCAAUAAGCAGGCUC